AUACGUAGGGUGCGAGCGUUGUCCGGAAUUACUGGGCGUAAAGCGAUCGUAGGUGGUUUGUCGCGUCGUCUGUGAAAUUCCGGGGCUUAACUCCGGGCGUGCAGGCGAUACGGGCAUAACUUGAGUACUGUAGGGGAGACUGGAAUUCCUGGUGUAGCGGUGAAAUGCGCAGAUAUCAGGAGGAACACCGGUGGCGAAGGCGGGUCUCUGGGCAGUAACUGACGCUGAGGAGCGAAAGCAUGGGUAGCGAACAGGAUUAGAUACCCUGGUAGUCCAUGCCGUAAACGGUGGGCGCUAGGUGUAGGGGUCUUCCACGACUUCUGUGCCGUAGCUAACGCAUUAAGCGCCCCGCCUGGGGAGUACGGCCGCAAGGCUAAAACUCAAAUGAAUUGACGGGG
rnacentral:rRNA from 1 species